AUGUCUACUGGGAGGAUACACUAGUGGGGAUAGUUCUGUGUAUACAGUGAUUAAGCACAUAGGUUCUGGAGCCAGUCUGUUUCUUUCAAAAUCACCUCAUUGCUUUUGAAGAAUCAGCCCAGCUCAAAUGGACAAAGAGGUCAUUUUAUAUUUUAUCACCUAAGAAUUUGAUUUGAAAAGAGGAUCAGAAACCACAGGAAAUUUGAUUUAUGCCAGCCCUGCAUCCAAGUUGCUGUGACAAGUAAAUGAAAUAGCACAAAUGCAGUGCCUGGGAGUGGAUCAUCAUAAGGGAAACCCCCAUGAGACUACAGGUGUGAAGCAAGAUAGAAGCAUCAGUGCAAAAGAGUCUCUUCCAGGGUGAAGGAUGGACUUUGGUGUGGUGUGUUCUCUUUUGUACAUGCCUCAGUGAGAUGCACAAAGCACAACUUGGUCAGAUUCACAGAGGCUCUUGUCUCCUCUAACUCUUCCUGACGCAGGUUCCUCUAAUCUGAUGGGACACUCCUGCAAUGAUGCUUCAGCUGUAUUUUAACCUCAAGAAACCCUAAGAUCCCUCACUCCUAUGCUGCUGUCAACGGGAGGCUAAGAAGCACAGAGAAAUAGGCCAUACAAAGUCUACCUCUCUGAACACUCUGGUUUGUUGAGAUGACAGAUGGUUAAGUCUCUCUCUGACAUCAAGAGAUAGAGCCAAAGUUAUCAUGGAAUUGUUUCUUUUGGAAUGUCAAGUUUAUGUGCACCGUAUCACUCUUCUGAAAUGGACUCAAGAUUCAGGGUCUCAUCUCACUUUUGAUUUAACUACACUCAUAUUCAUCCAUGUGUGAAAAAUGGUGAUCACACUAGAAAGCUUGUUCUUACUGUUUCCUUGCAUAUCUGAAUACCUGCAUCACAUUCAAAUCUAACUCACUGCCUUAAUUUAAUAGCUGAAAGAAACACUGAACAAGUCACACUCCUGCAAGGGCAUGGAACACAGAAUGGCAAGUAUAUCCACUAGGAUUGUAUUUUUCUACAAGAAAUAGCCUGGCAAAUGGUGGCCUAAAUUACUAAUCAGUUUAUUUUAUUUUUCUACAUAAGUUAGCAAACCAUGAUUGGUCUUAAGGAGCCAUCAAAAUCCAAUUUCCUUCAAGCUUUCUGCCUAGCCUUCCUUCACAUAUAGCUUCCAUUCUCCAGUUUCCCCCUGUGAACCUGGUAAAAAGAGAUUUCAAAGUUCAAGCCCGAAAUAUAAAUAAUUAUUCAGGAAUAUCUUAA